AUGUUUGUUUUAAACUCUUCUUCUUCGCUUGUUGUAACAUCCAUCAACAUCCGUUUUUUUUGUUCGUGUGACUGUAGUUGUGCAAAAAGUCUUUGCCAUAUUUCAAGGUUUUUUUAUGUGAUAGACCCAUUU